rnacentral:piRNA from 1 species
UGAAAGGAACCAGGAACCUAGUGAAUGAA